rnacentral:rRNA from 1 species
UUUCGCAAUGCCCGAAAGGUUGAUCCAGCGACGCCGCGUGGAGGAAGAAGGCCUUCGGGUUGUAAACUCCUGUCACGGGUUAAGAAGGAUGCGCUGCUUAAUACGCAGGGUUUCCCGACGAAGGCCCGAGAGGAAGUCACGGCUAACUCCGUGCCAGCAGCCGCGGUAAUUCGGAGGUGGCAAGCGUUGUUCGGAACUAUUGGGCGUAGAGGGCGCGUAGGCGGCCUCAUAAGUCGGUAGUGAAAUACCUCGGCUUAACCGAGGAACUGCUUCCGAUACUGUGUUGCUUGAGUGUGAGAGGGGAGAGUGGAACUCCAGGUGGAGCGGUGAAAUGCGUAGAUAUCUGGAGGAACGCCGGAGGCGAAGGCGACUCUCUGGCUCACUACUGACGCUGAGGCGCGAAAGCUAGGGUAGCGAAAGGGAUUAGAUACCCCUGUAGUCCUAGCCGUAAACGAUGGGCACUAAGUAGAGGGGUUUU